AUGAACAUUGCCCUCCUGACCCGCUGGCUAUGGCGCAUUGCUAAUGGCGAUGGAGGACUUUGGCUCACCAUCAUCCGGAACAAGUACCUCCGUGGACAGCCUCUUGCAUUCUGUCAGCGCACGGGCGGCUCCCAGUUUUGGCAGGCCGUCAUCCAGGUGCUCCCUGUGCUGAGCAUUGGCACUUCCAUCUCGGUUGGUACUGGGUCUGCGACCUUGUUCUAG
rnacentral:rRNA from 1 species